CUAGCUGUAAACGAUGGAUACUAGGCGUUGAGAGUAUCGACCCUCUCAGUGUCGUAGCUAACGCGUUAAGUAUCCCGCCUGGGGAGUACGCGCGCAAGCGUGAAGCUCAAAGGAAUUGACGGGGGCCCGCACAAGCGGUGGAGUAUGUGGUUUAAUUCGAUGCAACGCGAAGAACCUUACCAGGGCUUGACAUGUCCGGAACCCUGCCCAAAGGCGGGGGUGCCUACGGGAACCGGAACACAGGUGGUGC
rnacentral:rRNA from 1 species